rnacentral:rRNA from 1 species
AGAGUUUGAUCAUGGCUCAGAUUGAACGCUGGCGGCAGGCCUAACACAUGCAAGUCGAGCGGUAGAGAGAAGCUUGCUUCUCUUGAGAGCGGCGGACGGGUGAGUAAUGCCUAGGAAUCUGCCUGGUAGUGGGGGAUAACGUUCGGAAACGGACGCUAAUACCGCAUACGUCCUACGGGAGAAAGCAGGGGACCUUCGGGCCUUGCGCUAUCAGAUGAGCCUAGGUCGGAUUAGCUAGUUGGUGAGGUAAUGGCUCACCAAGGCGACGAUCCGUAACUGGUCUGAGAGGAUGAUCAGUCACACUGGAACUGAGACACGGUCCAGACUCCUACGGGAGGCAGCAGUGGGGAAUAUUGGACAAUGGGCGAAAGCCUGAUCCAGCCAUGCCGCGUGUGUGAAGAAGGUCUUCGGAUUGUAAAGCACUUUAAGUUGGGAGGAAGGGCAGUUACCUAAUACGUGAUUGUUUUGACGUUACCGACAGAAUAAGCACCGGCUAACUCUGUGCCAGCAGCCGCGGUAAUACAGAGGGUGCAAGCGUUAAUCGGAAUUACUGGGCGUAAAGCGCGCGUAGGUGGUUUGUUAAGUUGGAUGUGAAAUCCCCGGGCUCAACCUGGGAACUGCAUUCAAAACUGACUGACUAGAGUAUGGUAGAGGGUGGGUGGAAUUUCCUGUGUAGCGGUGAAAUGCGUAGAUAUAGGAAGGAACACCAGUGGCGAAAGCGACCACCUGGACUGAUACUGACACUGAGUGCGAAGCGUGGGGAGCAACAGGAUUAGUACCCUGGUAGUCCACGCCGUAACGAUGUCAACUAGCCGUUGGGA